UCACGUGUGGACACUGAGGCCCUUCCUCGAGCUCUUUAACCAAACCCAACCUCCCUAAUUCGCCGCCUUCCCCGCUCCCACAACCACACGUUCCCGUGUGAGGGCUUAUUGCCUCCAGCCAGCCACCGUCCUUCGCCCCCACAUUCACGAGGUUUGGAGCCGGCCUCACCCGCGGAAGCGGACGCCCCCCACCCGCGCGUGCGCACUACGCAGUCAUCCUGCGACAUCCAGAAUCCACCGGGGUGCAGCGAGGCUGUGGAAAGUCCCACCCAGAACGUGAGGUGAAGAAGGCUUGGGCUGCGCUGGUUCUGCUCUGUCCGGGUCGGAGAUGAACUGAGCCGGGAGAGCAGCGGAGGGAUGUUUCUUUCGGCCAACAGUGGGCACUCAACUGCACGUUUUGCAAAGAGGCCCACAGUCCUUUGCGUGGCGCUCGGACUACAUUUCCCAACGGCUCCUGCGCGGCCUGGGGGCUGUUCCAUGCGGUGUUGCGCCUGCGUAGCCGGCGGGCUGGCAGUGAGACUGACUGCGUCCGGGUUGAGACUGGGUGGAUGAGGCUCACCCCGGCGGGGAGAAGGGACGAGGAGGGGCGGACAGCGGAAGGUCUGGGAGUGUCCGCCAUAAAGUCGUUUGAGGUGACCAUUGCGUAAUUGUGAGUCUGUGAGAGAAGAUGUGAAGUAUGGCCUCGUCCCGGUUAUCUGGGCGUGCGGGUCCCGGGUUUUGAUCGCGCGUUUGUGUAGGUGAGACCCACAUUGUGUUACCCUGAACAUGUGUGAGGACGAACCUUUGUGUUUUCUUAUACGUGUGUCUCUGAGGCGAUUUUUGUGGUUUUGUACGUGGCGGGGGGCACUGAUUUUGAAUAUGUGUGUAUGUUCUGGACAUUUGUUUAGCUUCUGCAUCCACUUUUGCGGAAGGGCAGAGUUGAGUAGGUGGGAACAGGUACUGUGUGGCCCCACAAAGCCUGAACUAUUUACUGUUGACUCUAGAGCCCCGUUUUUGUGGUGUGUACAUCUCUGUGGGGAACCACACAUUUUGAAUAUGUAUACUUGUGUAUAUUUACGUCUAUUCUAUUUUUUGUAUUUUUAGUAGAUUCGGGGUUUCACCAUGUGGGCUCUUGACCUCGUGAUCCGCCCGCCUCGGCCUCCCAAAGACUGUUUAAAUGCCAUUAGAUCUGAGUGUCCUUGAUACAUUCUUAGCCUGAAAACUAGAGGAAUAUGGGCUGGCAAACCAACACUGACAUAAAUAAAUGGCAAGGAAUAUUAAAAAAGAAAACAAGUUUUGAGAGCUACGGGAACAUAUAACUUUAGGAUAUUAAUCAUUUCAGAAAAGGCUUUUAUGAAGUAGUGAAUUUUUUUCAUUCUUUCUUGAAGAGUUUUAUUUUUAAAUAAGUUUGGAUUACCAAAGAGCUGCAGAGAUGGUACAGAGUUUCUAUAUACACAUUCCCCAGCUUUUCCUAAUGCUACCAUCGUAUAGAACCGUGUUACCUUAGUCAACCUAAAACCUUCACAUUGGUACAAUACUCUCAGAGAAACUGCAGACUAUUCAGAUUUCCACUGUUUUUCCAAGUAUUAUCUUUUUUAGUUCCAGGUUUUAGUCACAAAUCUCACAUUUCUUUAAGCCAUCAUGUCCCUUAGUCUACUUGGGUCUGCAAUGAUUCCUCAGUCUUUAUCUUUUAUGACCUUGUCACUCACCAGGAUUUUU
rnacentral:lncRNA from 1 species